GGCGCAACUGGGGACGGAGCGUCUCCGCCUACCUGCCUGGUUCGUGGUGAUGUUGACCACGGCGGCCCGGCGGGGCUCGGGACUCAGGUCAGACACGCCGUUGACAGCCUCGAUCCAGAAGGAAUAGUUCAUGUGGGCCAGCAGGUUGGCGACCAGCAGGCUAGCCUGCACCAGGCUUGUCUGCUGCGGCACGAAGCGGGUGCCACCCCCACACUUCUCACAGUGGCCCAACGCCCAGGGGCAGCGGCGGCACACUGCGUUGUAGACUUUGUGCUGCCCAAAAUUCUCAUCCAGAGAAGGGGAGAGACUGCACUGCCUCAGCGCUCGUAGCAGAUUCUGAGGGCCUGGCGGCACUGCAUUGUGGGUUGGCAAGAAACCAGAGGCUGGACAGCGAGUGCAAGUGUCCGUGACCUAGAGCGGGGCUCGCUGAGCCUGAGGAGCCCACCGCCGGCAGCGUGUCCCUCAGCUACACCUCCGGCCCACGGGUCCACGUGGGGAAAACACAGGCAAGAGGAGGCAGCGGAGGAGCCGUGUCCGCAGAACACCACGCCAGUCACGCAGCCCUGCAGGCACAGAGAGCCCCUGGGAGUCCCCCAGGCGACCCCUUGGCUUGCCCACCCCAGUGCCCAGGACACUGGUAUCAUUGCUGGGUCAGAAGAUGACUGCAGCCCCCCAGCGCCGGAAAGGACAGGAGUCCAGCUUCCGGUCUCUGGAGCAGAGAGCGAAGACCAAGGAAGAGAAAGGCAGAAAAAAAUCCCUGGAGAGAUGGCAGGGCUUCCCGGUGGGCCCCAGGAGGACAGAGGCGCAGACUUCCAGCAACCUCCCAGCUCUUCUCUCGUUGGAAGAUGGAAGGAUGAAAGCACAGAGAGGGUCUGAGGCCGAGCCAAAGUUGCACAGUAAAUCAGGAGCAGAGGAGCUGGCACACACAGUAAUGAGGCCGCCAUCAUCUCCGGGAAGGAAAUAGAGGGCGACACAAGGGCGAAUAGCAGGAAGCACUACCUUCCCCACGAAGGAGGUGAUAAUUGGAUUGUGGCCCAAAGGACAAGAGCAAGUCAGCAUGCAGGGGCUGGGGCUGUUCUGGGUUGAGGGGCUCUCUAAAUGCACACCUGACAUUGUCACUGCCAGGUCUAAUUCCUUUACCCCCUCCUAGGCUCCGUGUGGCCUAAACAAUAAAGCCUGGCGUUCAGAGCCCCCCUCCCUCCCAGCUCUGCAGCCACCUUUGGUACCAUCUCUCAUUUCCCAUCCUCAGUGCCAACCAAAGGACUGACUAUUCCCAUCUGGCAGGCUA